GAUUAAAUUCAUUUGCAUCUAGUGCACAAUAAAGAACAUUCAUAGCUCUGGCAUUUAAUUGUGCCAAUUUCUUAUCAACCUCAUCCCAUUCUUUCUCAGAUUUGGUUGACUCCUCAUCAUUUAUAAUCUUGGUGGGUGUGUGAGGACCGUUCACUAUGAUACUCCACAUAUCAUAGUCGAGUGCUUGUAUGAAUAUCUUCAUCCGAGCUUUCCAAUAGGUGUAAUUAGACCCAUUGAAAAGUGAAGAUCGAUUUGUAGAUUGCCCCUCGGCUAGAGAAGUACCGACAUGGGUUGCCAUAGAUCUUUGGCUCUUUGAUUGUUAGAUCAAAGAAGGGCUAGAGCACCGGGCUCUGAUACCACUUGUUGCCCAGCUAUGCAACCUAAGAGGGAGGGGGUGAAUUGGGUUUCUAAAAAUUUUAGGCUUAAUUAAUUACUUAUGAUGAAUGAGAACAAAGACUUUAAAUUAAGAUUAAUUUUUUAAAGCAAGAAUGCAAGGAUAUAAUAAAGAAAUAAAGAGAAACAAUAAAGCACACCACAAACACAAGGAUUUAUAGUGGUUCGGUGCCAACCUUGCACCUACAUCCACUCCCCA
rnacentral:lncRNA from 1 species